rnacentral:rRNA from 1 species
AUACAGAGGGUGCGAGCGUUAAUCGGAAUUACUGGGCGUAAAGCGCGCGUAGGCGGCUUAUUAAGUCAGAUGUGAAAUCCCCGGGCUCAGCCUGGGAACUGCAUCUGAUACUGGUAAGCUAGAGUUUUGGAGAGGGAAGUAGAAUUUCAGGUGUAGCGGUGAAAUGCAUAGAGAUCUGAAGGAAUACCAGUGGCGAAGGCGACUUCCUGGCCAAAAACUGACGCUGAGGUGCGAAAGCGUGGGUAGCAAACGGGAUUAGAUACCCUAGUAGUCC